CCUUUCUUGAGCCCGUGCUGGACCAUUCCUGCGGCCGAGUUCUCCACCAGCCGCUUGAGCUGCCUGUACGUGUACUCUCGGCCAUCGGAGGUGUCCACGAUCGCUACUCUCUCCAGGAGGAAGCUUGCUGGUAAAGGUGUGAUCCUCGCCGGUAGCAGGGGUGAAGUCGGGUGGUGCGUAGUCUCCCAUGAGUUCGAGCAGACGAUCCGGAAAGAUUAGACCGAGCAACUAUAGGGGCGUGGUCGAUCAAAGAAAGACGGUGACUCCGGCUUGUUGCAUCAAGGAGAGCUGGCGACUAGAUCAAGGAAGAUGGUGGUCGAUCAAAGGAAAAGACGAUGCUGGUGAUCGAUCAAAGGAAAAGACGAUGGUGGUGGUCGAUCAAGGAAGACGAUGGUGGUGAUCGAUCAAAGGAAAACGAUGGUUCUGGCUUACUGGACACUUUGCGUCGACUGGCUUCAAACAGGAAGGAUUCCCUCUAAAAGUUUGGAUCAAGGAAGACGAUCGUAUUCGAGGGAAGCAGCGGAUGGAUCAAGAGAUUUGGAUCGAGGAACAAGAUGGUGGUGGCUUAUAACAAGAGAGAAUUGGUUUGGUGGUGUCAUGAGCUUUGACUCGGCGAAAUUCUUUGGUUUUUUCUGGGCA